rnacentral:sRNA from 1 species
AAAACCCUGACAAGCAGGGUGGGAAGGGCCCCAGAGGCAGCGUUCUCACGCCGGAAUACCUGAUAACAAGACCAUCCCGAGAGACUCCGCAAAAGCCACAACCUUGCACACUGGCUAGGCAACCUCACACCGAAAAAUACUGGAGGACUCCCGCCAGCGGCGCCCGUCCGACCUCCGGCGGGCGGCGCCCUGUCACCCGUCCUCCUGGCCGCGAAAUUACCGCAAACAGGGACGCCGCCCUCUCAUCCCACCGCCACCCCGGCUGCGCUCAGCAGCUCCCAGAGGCGGUCAGCCUUUGGGUUUGACGACGGCAACUUCCCGGGCCCCGGCGAGCGCAGCCACGCACCCGGAAGCCGCCUCGGGGCGCGACGCCGAGCCAAAACCGCCCGCGGGCUCCGAGGCCACAGGUUCAUUUUCCAGACACUGAAAGAGCAGAAUGGCUAAAUAAGACUGUAAAACACAUGUGGCCUUUCAUUUGCCAAUUUAUAGAGAAGUUGUUUCGAGAAACUAUAGAACCAGCCGUGCGGGGAGCAAACACCCACCUUAGCACCUUUAGUUUCACGAAGGUCGACGUGGGCCAGCAGCCCCUCAGGAUCAAUGGUGUUAAGGUAUACACUGAAAAUGUAGACAAAAGGCA